UACGAAGGGGGCUAGCGUUGCUCGGAAUCACUGGGCGUAAAGGGUGCGUAGGCGGGUCUUUAAGUCAGGGGUGAAAUCCUGGAGCUCAACUCCAGAACUGCCUUUGAUACUGAAGAUCUUGAGUUCGAGAGAGGUGAGUGGAACUGCGAGUGUAGAGGUGAAAUUCGUAGAUAUUCGCAAGAACACCAGUGGCGAAGGCGGCUCACUGGCCCGGUACUGACGCUGAGGCACGAAAGCGUGGGGAGCAAACAGG
rnacentral:rRNA from 1 species